rnacentral:rRNA from 1 species
UGAGGAAUAUUGGGCAAUGCCCGCAAGGGUGACCCAGCGACGCCGCGUGGAGGAUGAAUGUCGUAAGAUUGUAAACUCCUGUUAGAGGGGAAGAAUAGUACCGGUUGGACCGGUAUAUGACUGUACCCUCAGAGAAAGCCCCGGCUAACUACGUGCCAGCAGCCGCGGUAAUACGUAGGGGGCAAGCGUUGUCCGGAUUUACUGGGUGUAAAGGGCGCGCAGGCGGGAUAAAAAGUCAGUGGUGAAAUCCUACAGCUUAACUGUAGAACUGCCUUUGAUACUUUUAUUCUUGAGUUCGGGAGAGAGAGACGGAAUUCCAGGUGUAGUGGUGAAAUACGUAGAUAUCCGGAGGAACACCAGUGGCGAAAGCGGCUUCCUGGACUGUAACUGACGCUCAGACGCGAAAGCUAGGGUAGCAAACG